rnacentral:tRNA from 1 species
UCUCUGAAAUAGCUCAGUUGGUAGAGCGCCAGACUACAAAUCGAGAGGUUUUUGGUUCGAUCCCCGUUCGGCAAA